AGGAUAACGACUAGGAAACGGUCGCUAAAACUGGAUAGGAUCAUUUGAGGCAUCUCGGAAUGAUUUAAAGGGGCUUUCAAGCCACACUUAGAGAAAGGCCUGCGGCGCAUUAGCUAGUUAGGUGGGGUAGAGGCCUACCAAGGCGAUGAUGCGUAGCCGGACUGAGAGGUCGAACGGCCACGAUUGGGACUGAGACACGGCCCAAACUCCUACGGGAGGCAGCAGUAGGGAAUUUUCGGCAAUGGGGGAAACCCUGACCGAGCAACGCCGCGUGAAUGAAAGACGUAUUUCGGUAUGUAAAGUUCUUUUAUUAAGGAAGAAUAUUCACGGAUAAGGAAAUGAUCUGUGAGUGACGGUACUUAAUGAAUAAGCCCCGGCUAACUAUGUGCCAGCCGCCGC
rnacentral:rRNA from 1 species